ensembl:misc_RNA 7SK 7SK RNA
GGAUGUGAGGACGAUCUGACUGCAACAUCUGUCAAGCCAUGGAUCGCCAGGGUUGAUUCUGUUGAUCUGGUUGGCUAGGCAAGGGUCCUCUUCCUCCCUCACUGCUCCAUAUGCAUCCUUCCUAAAGCUGCAUGCUCCGUCUGAGAGGAUGGCCUUCCCCGAUAGAGGAAAACCAUUCUUUGGUCAAAGGUAUACUAGUAGCUACACUCUCCUGCUAGAACCUCCAGACAAAUUCUCAAGACAACUCAGACAGAGAUAUCUUCCCUGAACACCUUACAAAAAACAGUACACUCACCAGGUGCAGCGGCGCAUGCCUGUAAU